rnacentral:rRNA from 1 species
UACGUAGGGUCCGAGCGUUGUCCGGAAUUACUGGGCGUAAAGAGCUCGUAGGUGGUUUGUCGCGUUGUUCGUGAAAACUCACAGCUCAACUGUGGGCGUGCGGGCGAUACGGGCAGACUAGAGUACUGCAGGGGAGACUGGAAUUCCUGGUGUAGCGGUGAAAUGCGCAGAUAUCAGGAGGAACACCGAUGGCGAAGGCAGCUCGCUGGGACGGUACUGACGCUGAGGCGCGAAAGCGUGGGGAGCAAACAGG